GUAGGACAAGUAGAUUCACAAAUUCAUGGGUAGGACAUGUUUUUCUGAUUAAAAAUAUCACAACAGCACAUAUCAAUAUUUAUAAUCUGUAAAU